rnacentral:ncRNA from 2 species
CUCUUAUCGAGAGUGGUGGAGGGAAUAGGCCCUAUGAAACCACGGCAACCGGCCCAAGAAAAAGUUGGGUUAGGUGCUAAAGCCAGGUUGCGAAGCCAGCGACCGCGAUAAGAG